GCUUAACACAUGCAAGUCGAACGAAGCACUUUAUUACGAUUUCUUCGGAAUGACGAUUUGGUGACUGAGUGGCGGACGGGUGAGUAACGCGUGGGUAACCUGCCCUGUACAGGGGGGACAACAGUUGGAAACGACUGCUAAUACCGCAUAAGCCUACGGUGCCGCAUGGCACAGGAGGAAAAACUCCGGUGGUACAGGAUGGGCCCGCGUCUGAUUAGUUAGUUGGCGGGGUAACGGCCCACCAAGACGACGAUCAGUAGCCGGCUUGAGAGAGUGAACGGCCACAUUGGGACUGAGACACGGCCCAAACUCCUACGGGAGGCAGCAGUGGGGAAUAUUGCACAAUGGGGGAAACCCUGAUGCAGCAACGCCGCGUGAGUGAAGAAGUAUUUCGGUAUGUAAAGCUCUAUCAGCAGGGAAGAAAAUGACGGUACCUGACUAAGAAGCCCCGGCUAACUACGUG
rnacentral:rRNA from 1 species